UACAAUAUGGCUUUCGUGGGUGGCGGUUUCACUCCCUGACUGAAUUGCAGGAGAGGGGGUGAUGCCUAUGACAGUGUUUGAAGCGCUUGUGCUGAUGAUCUCGUUUGGUUCAUUAGUUGUUGCAUUGCUGUCACAAAAAAAAUAACCACCCAUAAGCCUGGCAAGCAUAGUGGGUAGUUAUUUUCUAUAAACUGUGUGAGCCGCCCCCUUGAAGGGCUAUUGUACAUGGCCGAUGGUGUACCAGCACCAUCG
rfam:Virgibacillus massiliensis genome assembly, contig: 000001